rnacentral:rRNA from 1 species
UACGAAGGGGGCUAGCGUUGUUCGGAAUUACUGGGCGUAAAGCGCGCGCAGGCGGUCUUCCAAGUCAGUGGUGAAAGCCCGGAGCUCAACUCCGGAGGGUCGGUGGAUACUGCCAGUCUUGAAGGUGCUAGGGGGAGAUGGAAUUACCGGUGUAGCGGUGAAAUGCGUAGAUAUCGGUAGGAACACCAGUGGCGAAGGCGGUCUCCUGGGGCAUUCUUGACGCUGAGGCGCGAAAGCUGGGGGAGCAAACGGG